rnacentral:lncRNA from 1 species
CCUAUACAAUCUGUGUGUUCUGGCUGCUUUGGUGGGAGAGCUCAAUCUGAAGUCACAUCCCCAGGGUUUGCUGGCAGUUACCACCUUUGUAGAAGGUGGGGCUGGAAGUGGAGGUGCUAGAGCCAGAGCCAGGUGUGAGCUGGGGCUUCUCCUCUGGUAAGUAGCCAGCCUAACCCUAUCAGGGGUAAGGGCAGAUCCCAGGUGCUGGAGCAAAUCCUUGAGGGUCAGGUCUGAACUGGCUCAUUCCCUGUAAGUGUGUGUACACUUUCCCCUCCCAGCCUUGGCACCUUUGUCCCAGAGGGGAGCAUGCUGGAACAAAAAGGAGCUGAAGUGGGUACCCAAUGUGUGCUGAAGUGUGUGCUGGGGCAGCUCUGGCACCGGUCACAGUUCCAGACUACUCCUGAUCUGCUGCCCCAAUAAAUGCCAGUUAUGACCACUCUUGGCCUGUUCAGAUGCCUUGCCAGCACCACAAGUAGGCACCCUCCUUGGCCACAGCAGCCUUCACCCUAAUGAGGAGCUGCAUUGCAUAGCAAAAGGGACGCGUGUGUGUGCUUAGAGUGGGCCAGGGUGUAGUCUGGGUAGGUCGUGGGAAACUGACCAGGGCCCAGGCUGUUUCAGUCUGCUUCCUCCACUUUGUUUAGGCAGUAAGCAAGUGUGUGCCCACUCUUCACAAGUGGAGUCUAGGUUUGUCACGGGCCUACUGUUAGCCCACUAAUGUUCAAACCAUCAAGGGGAUUCAUCCUCCAGGUGUUGGAUCCCAGGGCUGGGGUCCCUGAUAUAUGGUUCCAACUACUCAUUCCCCAGGUAGUUAUCUCCAAGCCUAUGUAAUUCCCCUUCCUCUUCUGUGUCCUCUUCCAGGGUACAGGUCCCAACCUGAUCACUCCUCCCUUCCUGCCUGUGUCUGCAUGGCUCUUUCUUACAGCUUUGGUUAUGGAAGCAUCUUUCUGCUAGUUUCCAGUUAGUUCUCAGGGAGAAUUGCUCCUCACGCAGAUGUAUUUUUGAUGUGUUUUAGGGGAGGCAAUCUGAGGCAUUUUCUGGGCAACAGUUGAAAAAAUUAGGGCUCUAGUCCAGUUUCUAAACUCCUUUAUGGGAGAUGUUGGUGGCCGUAGUAAUGCAGAGGCAGAGCAUGUGAUGGUCCCAGCCCAGGUUUUCAGAGAGCACCUCCAUUCCAGAGAGGGGGGCCAUCUCUCUUAGUGUCCUGGGGUUGGGAGCCUACCCCUGGAAACUCUGUCACAGUCUGGUAGGACCCAGGGAUGCAAGUCCACCAACCAUAUUCAAGGGGCACCUCUGGGCAGCAGCUGCAAAAACUGGGCACCAGAUGUAAGAACAGGACCAUCAAUCACAUGAAAUAACUCCCCCAAUUGAUGCCAGCUUUGGUACUAAGUAUAGAGAAUGCAGAUAGCACCCACCUUUUGAGGUCUCUGGAAAGGUUUAUGCUCAGCCCUUAGAUCUGUGUUUCAUUAGAAGCCUGCCUCUCAGGCCACAUCUGUGAUGAUUAGCUAAUAGGUCCCUUUUCCAGAAAGACUGAGCUCCUGAGUCUGUUGCCUCUUGCUGUGCCCAGAGGGUGGGAGCUGUGAGACUCUUUCUUUGAUGGUUACAGUCUCUGGGACCUGCACGUGUUAAGGCCCACUGGCAACUUCAGUUAGGUGAUGUAGAGGUAACCCCAGGUAGCAACACCAGGCACCUUCCUAGGAGAUACCACUGAACUGCAGCAGGGCAGAGGAAGAGUGCAAAGAUUGCUCCACCAGCCUCCAUUCCCAUGGAGCAGCUCUCUAGGCCCUACAAGCAUGGAUUCCAGAGGCGUGCCCCUCAGACCACAGCUCCUAGAUGGCAGAUAGACCUCUGCCUCAAAAAGACUGGGCAUAUGUUUCUGUCUGCUUUCUGCAGUGCCCUGAGGUGGCAGUCUGCCAAGAACUGUCUCUCCAGUUACAGGCCCAGGGGGCCCAGGAACACAAGCCCCCAGCCUUCAGAGCCAGGCAAUCAAGGGGUAUCCCCUGGGAUAUAGCCUUAAAAAUCAGGCACCAGGUGUAAACAUCAGGGCAUUAGAUGUGUAUAAAAUCUCUUCUCCAAGGGAUGCUGGUGUUGUGGAGUGUGGCAGAAGGCACGUGUGAAGAUGUGCACCCUCUAAGGAAAAAUAAAAAUGAUGGUGCUUGCUGGUUCCAGCAAGGCAGAGGGAGCAUUCAAAGAUGGUAUCUACAGAGAAAAUAGAGGCAAAAACUAGAGUAACUGAAGUUUAUCCGCCAGCUUCAGCCGCGGAAAACAGUGCAACCUGGAGUUUCUCAACAAGCCCAGCUCCUCGGCUGAUGCUCUGAUUAUCUAGUGAAUCUCUGCUGUCAAGUCUGGGCCCAAAGAGGGUGCCUCUUGGUCUCUCGUGGAUGCGGGGCCACAUGGAGUUCAAACCAGAUGUUUUGGGGACUCCUCUCAGUGUCCAAUGUGGGAGUCCAACCUCUGGCUCCUCCAGGAGAAGCUCUAGGUUUGAGAUCCCCUCCUGGUGGCAGCUGGCCAUGCCAGGAGUGGGUUUACAGGGAUGCGGUAUCAGCCUCUCCCAUCUGCUUCCAUGUGGCUCUUUUCUCCUUUGUCAGUGACGUGAGCCGCUGCUUGGCUAGUUUGAGGUGCUUUUCAGAGGAAAUUGUUCCACUGGUGGCUUUGGACGUGUCUGUGGGAGGAGGUGAGCUCAGAAUGCUCUUACCUUGCCAUCUUCCUCAGCUUCCUCCACUUCAGAUCCUGAUGGCUAAACUGGGGCUCUGAGGACAAUGUCUUUGUUCAUAGGAAACUGUCACUGAGGAUCCUGGGGCAUUGGUUUGGCAGCUUACUCUUCAGAUUUUUUUCUUUUUUUCUGUACAUACAACUUUUCGUGAGAUUGUUUCAAAAGAGAAAAAUAAUUUCAAAAAUGUUCACCCUGGAGUUCCCAUUGUGGUGCAGUGGAAACAAAUCCAACUAGGAACCAUGAGGUUGUGGGUUCGAUCCCUGGCCUUGCUCAGUGAGUUAAAGAUGCUGCGUUGCCAUAAGGUGGCAGACAUGGCUCGGAUUUGGUGGUGUUGUGGCUGUGGUAUAGGCCAGUGGCUACAGCUCCAAUUAGUCCCCUAGCCUGGGAACCUCCAUAUGCUGUGGAUG